rnacentral:rRNA from 1 species
GUCGAGGGGAAACGACAUCGAGAGCUUGCUUUUGAUGGGCGUCGACCGGCGCACGGGUGAGUAACGCGUAUCCAACCUGCCCACCACUUGGGGAUAACCUUGCGAAAGUAAGACUAAUACCCAAUGACGUCUCUAGAAGACAUCUGAAGGAGAUUAAAGAUUUAUCGGUGACGGAUGGGGAUGCGUCUGAUUAGCUUGUUGGCGGGGUAACGGCCCACCAAGGCUACGAUCAGUAGGGGUUCUGAGAGGAAGGUCCCCCACAUUGGAACUGAGACACGGUCCAAACUCCUACGGGAGGCAGCAGUGAGGAAUAUUGGUCAAUGGACGAGAGUCUGAACCAGCCAAGUAGCGUGCAGGAUGACGGCCCUAUGGGUUGUAAACUGCUUUUAUAAGGGAACAAAGUGAGUCUCGUGAGGCUUUUUGCAUGUACCUUAUGAAUAAGGACCGGCUAAUUCCGUGCCAGCAGCCGCGGUAAUACGGAAGGUCCGGGCGUUAUCCGGAUUUAUUGGGUUUAAAGGGAGCGUAAGCCGGAGAUUAAGCGUGUUGUGAAAUGUAGACGCUCAACGUCUGCACUGCAGCGCGAACUGGUUUCCUUGAGUACGCACAAAGUGGGCGGAAUUCGUGGUGUAGCGGCGAAAUGCUUAGAUAUCACGAAGAACUCCGAUUGCGAAGGCAGCUCACUGGAGCGCAACUGACGCUGAAGCUCGAAAGUGCGGGUAUCGAACAGGAUUAGAUACCCUGGUAGUCCGCGCGGUAAACGAUGGAUGCCCGCUGUUGGUCUGAAUAGGUCAGCGGCCAAGCGAAAGCAUUAAGCAUCCCACCUGGGGAGUACGCCGGCAACGGAGGGACUCAAAGGAAUUGACGGA